rnacentral:rRNA from 1 species
UUAAGCGACUAAGCGUACACGGUGGAUGCCCUGGCAGUCAGAGGCGAUGAAGGACGUGCUAAUCUGCGAUAAGCGUCGGUAAGGUGAUAUGAACCGUUAUAACCGGCGAUUUCCGAAUGGGGAAACCCAGUGUGUUUCGACACACUAUCAUUAACUGAAUCCAUAGGUUAAUGAGGCGAACCGGGGGAACUGAAACAUCUAAGUACCCCGAGGAAAAGAAAUCAACCGAGAUUCCCCAGUAGCGGCGAGCGAACGGGGAGCAGCCCAGAGCCUGAAUCAGUGUGUGUGUUAGUGGAAGCGUCUGGAAAGGCGCGCGAUACAGGGUGACAGCCCCGUACACAAAAAUGCACAUGCUGUGAGCUCGAUGAGUAGGGCGGGACACGUGGUAUCCUGUCUGAAUAUGGGGGGACCAUCCUCCAAGGCUAAAUACUCCUGACUGACCGAUAGUGAACCAGUACCGUGAGGGAAAGGCGAAAAGAACCCCGGCGAGGGGAGUGAAAAAGAACCUGAAACCGUGUACGUACAAGCAGUGGGAGCACGCUUAGGCGUGUGACUGCGUACCUUUUGUAUAAUGGGUCAGCGACUUAUAUUCUGUAGCAAGGUUAACCGAAUAGGGGAGCCGAAGGGAAACCGAGUCUUAACUGGGCGUUAAGUUGCAGGGUAUAGACCCGAAACCCGGUGAUCUAGCCAUGGGCAGGUUGAAGGUUGGGUAACACUAACUGGAGGACCGAACCGACUAAUGUUGAAAAUUAGCGGAUGACUUGUGGCUGGGGGUGAAAGGCCAAUCAAACCGGGAGAUAGCUGGUUCUCCCGAAAGCUAUUUAGGUAGCGCCUCGUGAAUUCAUCUCCGGGGUAGAGCACUGUUUCGGCAAGGGGGUCAUCCCGACUUACCAACCCGAUGCAAACUGCGAAUACCGGAGAAUGUUAUCACGGGAGACACACGGCGGGUGCUAACGUCCGUCGUGAAGAGGGAAACAACCCAGACCGCCAGCUAAGGUCCAAAGUCAUGGUUAAGUGGGAAACGAUGUGGGAAGGCCCAGACAGCCAGGAUGUUGGCUUAGAAGCAGCCAUCAUUUAAAGAAAGCGUAAUAGCUCACUGGUCGAGUCGGCCUGCGCGGAAGAUGUAACGGGGCUAAACCAUGCACCGAAGCUGCGGCAGCGACGCUGAUGCGUUGUUGGGUAGGGGAGCGUUCUGUAAGCCUGCGAAGGUGUGCUGUGAGGCAUGCUGGAGGUAUCAGAAGUGCGAAUGCUGACAUAAGUAACGAUAAAGCGGGUGAAAAGCCCGCUCGCCGGAAGACCAAGGGUUCCUGUCCAACGUUAAUCGGGGCAGGGUGAGUCGACCCUAAGGCGAGGCCGAAAGGCGUAGUCGAUGGGAAACAGGUUAAUAUUCCUGUACUUGGUGUUACUGCGAAGGGGGACGGAGAAGGCUAUGUUGGCCGGGCGACGGUUGUCCCGGUUUAAGCGUGUAGGCUGGUUUUCCAGGCAAAUCCGGAAAAUCAAGGCUGAGGCGUGAUGACGAGGCACUACGGUGCUGAAGCAACAAAUGCCCUGCUUCCAGGAAAGCCUCUAAGCAUCAGGUAACAUCAAAUCGUACCCCAAACCGACACAGGUGGUCAGGUAGAGAAUACCAAGGCGCUUGAGAGAACUCGGGUGAAGGAACUAGGCAAAAUGGUGCCGUAACUUCGGGAGAAGGCACGCUGAUAUGUAGGUGAAGUCCCUCGCGGAUGGAGCUGAAAUCAGUCGAAGAUACCAGCUGGCUGCAACUGUUUAUUAAAAACACAGCACUGUGCAAACACGAAAGUGGACGUAUACGGUGUGACGCCUGCCCGGUGCCGGAAGGUUAAUUGAUGGGGUCAGCGCAAGCGAAGCUCUUGAUCGAAGCCCCGGUAAACGGCGGCCGUAACUAUAACGGUCCUAAGGUAGCGAAAUUCCUUGUCGGGUAAGUUCCGACCUGCACGAAUGGCGUAAUGAUGGCCAGGCUGUCUCCACCCGAGACUCAGUGAAAUUGAACUCGCUGUGAAGAUGCAGUGUACCCGCGGCAAGACGGAAAGACCCCGUGAACCUUUACUAUAGCUUGACACUGAACAUUGAGCCUUGAUGUGUAGGAUAGGUGGGAGGCUUGGAAGUGUGGACGCCAGUCUGCAUGGAGCCGACCUUGAAAUACCACCCUUUAAUGUUUGAUGUUCUAACGUUGACCCGUGAUCCGGGUUGCGGACAGUGUCUGGUGGGUAGUUUGACUGGGGCGGUCUCCUCCUAAAGAGUAACGGAGGAGCACGAAGGUUGGCUAAUCCUGGUCGGACAUCAGGAGGUUAGUGCAAUGGCAUAAGCCAGCUUGACUGCGAGCGUGACGGCGCGAGCAGGUGCGAAAGCAGGUCAUAGUGAUCCGGUGGUUCUGAAUGGAAGGGCCAUCGCUCAACGGAUAAAAGGUACUCCGGGGAUAACAGGCUGAUACCGCCCAAGAGUUCAUAUCGACGGCGGUGUUUGGCACCUCGAUGUCGGCUCAUCACAUCCUGGGGCUGAAGUAGGUCCCAAGGGUAUGGCUGUUCGCCAUUUAAAGUGGUACGCGAGCUGGGUUUAGAACGUCGUGAGACAGUUCGGUCCCUAUCUGCCGUGGGCGCUGGAGAACUGAGGGGGGCUGCUCCUAGUACGAGAGGACCGGAGUGGACGCAUCACUGGUGUUCGGGUUGUCAUGCCAAUGGCACUGCCGGUAGCUAAAUGCGGAAGAGAUAAGUGCUGAAAGCAUCUAAGCACGAAACUUGCCCCGAGAUGAGUUCUCCCUGACUCCUUGAGAGUCCUGAAGGAACGUUGAAGACGACGACGUUGAUAGGCCGGGUGUGUAAGCGCAGCGAUGCGUUGAGCUAACCGGUACUAAUGAACCGUGAGGCUUAACCUU